GAUGAAGAACGUAGCGAAAUGCGAUAAGUAAUGUGAAUUGCAGAAUUCAGUGAAUCAUCGAAUCUUUGAACGCACAUUGCGCCCGCCAGUAUUCUGGCGGGCAUGCCUGUUCGAGCGUCAUUUCAACCAUCAAGCCCCCGGCUUGUGUUGGGGACCUGCGGCUGCCGCAGGCCCUGAAAAGCAGUGGCGGGCUCGCUGUCACACCGAGCGUAGUAGCAUACAUCUCGCUCUGGGCGUGCUGAGGGUUCCGGCCGUUAAACCACCUUCAUAACCCAAGGUUGACCUCGGAUCAGGUAGGAAGACCCGCUGAACUUAAGCAUAUCAAUAAGCGGAGGA
rnacentral:misc_RNA from 1 species